GUUGAACGCUGGCGGCAGGCUUAACACAUGCAAGUCGAGCGGAGAUGAGGUGCUUGCACCUUAUCUUAGCGGCGGACGGGUGAGUAAUGCUUAGGAAUCUGCCUAUUAGUGGGGGACAACAUUCCGAAAGGAAUGCUAAUACCGCAUACGUCCUACGGGAGAAAGCAGGGGAUCUUCGGACCUGGCGCUAAUAGAUGAGCCUAAGUCGGAUUAGCUAGUUGGUGGGGUAAAGGCCUACCAAGGCGACGAUCUGUAGCGGGUCUGAGAGGAUGAUCCGCCUCACUGGGACUGAGACACGGCCCAGACUCCUACGGGAGGCAGCAGUGGGGAAUAUUGGACAAUGGGGGGAACCCUGAUCCAGCCAUGCCGCGUGUGUGAAGAAGGCCUUAUGGUUGUAAAGCACUUUAAGCGAGGAGGAGGCUACUGAGACUAAUACUCUUGGAUAGUGGACGUUACUCGCAGAAUAAGCACCGGCUAACUCUGUGCCAGCCGCCGCAGUAA
rnacentral:rRNA from 1 species